rnacentral:rRNA from 1 species
AACGAACGCUGGCGGCAGGCUUAACACAUGCAAGUCGAGCGGAUGAAGAGAGCUUGCUCUCUGAUUCAGCGGCGGACGGGUGAGUAAUGCCUAGGAAUCUGCCUGGUAGUGGGGGACAACGUUUCGAAAGGAACGCUAGUACCGCAUACGUCCUACGGGAGAAAGCAGGGGACCUUCGGGCCUUGCGCUAUCAGAUGAGCCUAGGUCGGAUUAGCUAGUUGGUGAGGUAAUGGCUCACCAAGGCGACGAUCCGUAA